GUGGGGAAUAUUGGGCAAUGGGCGAAAGCCUGACCCAGCAACGCCGCGUGGGUGAAGAAAUCCCUCGGGAUGUAAAGCCCUGUUGUAUGGGAAGAGCAGAAGACGGUACCAUACGAGGAAGCCCCGGCAAACUACGUGCCAGCAGCCGCGGUAAUACGUAGGGGGCAAGCGUUGUCCGGAAUUACUGGGCGUAAAGCGCACGCAGGCUGAAUUAUAAGUCGGUAGUAAAAGGCGGGGGCUCAACUUCCGGAUAUCUAUCGAUACUGUAAAUCUAGAGUAUGUGAGAGGGAAGCGGAAUGCCCGGUGUAGCGGUGAAAUGCGUAGAUAUCGGGAGGAACACCAGUGGCGAAGGCGGCUUCCUGGCACAAUACUGACGCUCAUGUGCGAAAGCUAGGGCAGCGAACGGGAUUAGAAACCCGGGUAGUCC
rnacentral:rRNA from 1 species